rnacentral:sRNA from 1 species
GCAGUGUCCUUAACAUUCAGGGUCCAGCAUAGAUAAAAACCCCGACUAUCGGGGUUUUUUGUUAUCUGAUUCUUAUAUAUUGGCAUUAAAAAAUGCUGAUAUAUCAAAGAAUUGGUCUGUUUGCUUGGAAUUGAAAUUGGGCUCAGAGCCCUUUUUUU